GCCCUCCCGGGGUGGGGGCACACAUGGGCCCCACCAGCACCCCACCCGUCUCACCGGCCUGCGCCCCCCAGGUUUGCCUACAAGGACGAGUAUGAGAAGUUCAAGCUCUACCUCACCAUCAUCCUCAUCCUCAUCUCCUUCACUUGCCGCUUCCUGCUCAACUCCAGGGUGACAGAUGCUGCCUUCAACUUCCUGCUGGUCUGGUACUACUGCACCCUGACCAUCCGGGAGAGCAUCCUCAUCAACAACGGCUCCCGGUGGGCAGGGCGGGCCCUGAGGGAGGGGAGCAUGGAAUGGGGUGCCAGG
rnacentral:lncRNA from 1 species